UAUUUAAAAUACCCGACAAUAGAACUCCAGUGCUCGACAGUUGUACUCCAAACGCGACAAUAGAACUCCAAUAAUAAUGAGCUGUGACUGUGCAACCAACUUAAGAUUCAAAAACUCAUUACCAGAUUUCGCCAGUGUCGCCUUUGUUGUUGUUACAUCGUGAAAUGAGGCAAAAUAGGCGAAACAAUUGGAUGCUAAUUAAUACUUAUAUUCCUGUGAUUUCAUAUACCAAAUUGAACUUCGUAUCAUAUAUGCAUACUGUCAGUCAUUCCAAAAAGUUGACUUAGCGCUCAGUCACUUUCCCUCCAAUAGACCCAUCAUUUUGUCAAAAGCCUAUAACUCAUGUGUGAAGCUCACACAUUGUGGAAUACAAAUGUGUGAAGACAAGUUAUUUCCCGAUUACUGCUACCACACCAACCACACCACGUCAAAUGCCUUACUCAAUUCAGCAGCAGUCACCCAUAUGAUAAAGCAUCAGGAAAUUUACCGCAACCUGAGGAGUAAGGCUGUUGGUUGCUGUGAUUUCCAUUUUUGUGGUUUUUUAUCAUGAAAACUUCAGUGUGCUUGUUAAUAUAGAGCAUGUAAUAGAUCCUUAAGCCAAUGCUGACCUUUGUCCAUGAAGGAAGAGGGACAUCCAGCAACGUUCUGCUCCAUCCUUUGCUUCCCGACGUACGCUCAUCUAGCUUCACUGCUUUUGCUGCUACAACUUGUCUUACUUCACCGACGAGUUGGAACACUUCAGUGGUCUACCCCCUUUGCUGUUACACACCUGCAGUUACUCACCACGGAAUUAUGCCCAGGUAAUGCUGAAGAGACGUCGAGAAGAUGGACACCAAAAC